GAGAGUUGGACACUACCAAACAAAACCUUUUAGGAGGCUCAGGGUGCCACCUGUGAUGCCUUGUAUGUGUGUAAGUCAAGGAGGACCUGUGACUUCACUGACCCAGGGAACUUCUUAUACCAGUGCCAAAUGGUGCCUUUUCAGCAAUUUCCAGCCACAGUUUCCUAGCGUAUGGAGCGGUUAAGUGACUUGCCCAAGGUCACACAGUCAGCAUGUGUCAGAGGUGGGAAAAGGGCCCAGGUCUUCAUGGCUCCUAGUCCAGACUUCUCUCCUACAGUGAUCUGCCUCUCGUGAUGGUGAAGACAGAGGAGGAGGAGAAGCUUCAACAACAACAUUAUUCACAGCUGACCCUCACAGAUUUCUUCCUCUGAGGCCUCACUAUGGCCCAGGACUCUCAUAGCCCAAGCCUGAGCAGGCCCUAUCAGGUUAGGAAAGUUUCGGGCAGGGCGGUGAUGAACAGCUCAGUCCUGUCUGGAGACCAGAGGAGCAGGUGUGGGAUGGCUCAUAAUCCCAGAGCCAGGAAGAAUGAAAGCAGCUGCGGGGUACUCUGUGUCAUGCUACACGUCUCGGAUGCACUCGCACAGUUCAGUGCACACUCACUCAGGGCCCACUGCAUGCGAGGGAGGGGGGCCCCAUCCUCGCCCCAGCUGCGUGACGUAGGAAUGGGAGCAGCAUCGCCUCCAGCCUGUGUCGGGGGACCUUCCCACUCAGAGAGGGCAGGGGGUUUGUCCCGGAUCACACAGCCUUGGUCCUUGGCAGGGGCCACCCUCAGAGCCAGGUCGUGCAUAGCAGUCAUCGCCUCUGAAGCAGUGAGUCUUUCAGAAAAGGCCUAAAGACCUACUGACCACAAGAAGUAAUCCCCACAUCGUUAUUUCUUCUUUAGCCCUCCCACGUUUAGAGAAUUGCUGUCCUCACAGCAGCACUGUGGGAGAAGGUGUGCAAAUACUACUAGCUCCAUUUUACAGAUGAGGAAACUUGCCAGGGUCACAUAGCUAGCAAGUGGAAGUGACAGGCUCCAAGUCAAAGAAAUACUCUUUGUGCGGCUCUCUUUUAUGAAAUGAUAGCAGGCAACAUUAUGUGAUGACAAGUGAGUUUAUGUGGUUCUGGCAAGACUUACAGAAGGGACCAGUCACUGGUGGGUGGGGUGAUCCAGAAGGCUUCCUGGAGGAGGUGGGGCUGGACGAGGGAGGGAAAGGAUGAAGAAGAGCCACCAUCAGUCCUGGCGUCACUUUGAGCCAGCCCCUGGAACCCUGGAAUUCUUCGAACAAUAGCUGAGCUCUGCCUGGCUAUGGAACAUGGGUUCAUUUCCUGUUUUUUCCUCCUUUUCCUCCCUUUCCUCCUGAGCCUUGGGCCCCAGAGAGCGACUGACCUUCCUUAGGCCCCUCCACUUCCAUCCCUCAUUCUCUUCCCCAGACUGGGAAGGCCUGGACACUUGAGUUCUUCCAUUCUGGCUGGGGGGGUGGUUGGCCCCCCUCUCUCAGCUUCAAAAGCUGUCUUCUAUCCCCAAAGACUUUUAACAGUGGCCAAGAUCCAGCUGUGCUUGUGAAGAUCAAAGGACCCUACCUGUUUGAGUGUUCUAGCACCCACCGUACUGGCCCUUUCUGCCUCGUCUGACUUGGACUGGAUUCCAGGCCAGCCUGAACCUAUGACGUGCUUGCCUGAUCAUGCUGGCCAGACUUCCUGCCCUAGCCCUUCCUAGCUGGCCUGACAAGGCCCUUCAGAUCUGUGGACCUCUAUAAAAUGAAGGCGUCGGAACCGAUCACCUCCUAGGCACCUUCUGUCU